UACAGAGGUCUCAAGCGUUGUUCGGAUUCAUUGGGCGUAAAGGGUGCGUAGGCGGCGUGGUAAGUCGGAUGUGAAAUCUCGGAGCUUAACUCCGAAACUGCAUUCGAUACUGCCGUGCUUGAGGACUGGAGAGGAGACUGGAAUUUACGGUGUAGCGGUGAAAUGCGUAGAUAUCGUAAGGAAGACCAGUGGCGAAGGCGGGUCUCUGGACAGUUCCUGACGCUGAGACGCGAAGGCGUGGGGAGCGAACAGG
rnacentral:rRNA from 1 species